CACGGUGGAAAAGCUGAGACUUUUAACUUAUGCUCUGCAAAGUACUGGGAACUUGCACACAGAAAAUCAGGUCCAUCAGAGCCUCAGAAAAUCCAGCAAAACCAGUCUCAGGUGAACCCAGCGAAGGUAAAUUCAUAGUUCUUGACUCUUUCCUAAAUUGCUUUCUGGAUUCUCUUUGUCUAGAAUCUUUCUUAAGUGGGAACUCAAGAGGUCAGAGAAGGAUAAGGAAUCCUGAGGAUACUUGGGAUUAUAUUGUCAUACAUGGUGAAAUGGAUUCUUUUUAAAAGUUCAGUAAAUGAAUUGGGCAGAAUGAAGGGUAAUGAAUUAGCAUACCAAUAUGCAUAUAUAGCAAAAUCACUCAGAGCAAACAAUUUUAACUAAGGGUAUUGCAGUAAAUAAGCAUUGGUAUAGGAAUUGCAAAGUCUUAGAUUCAAAUGCUGACUUCAUCCUUACCAGCUGUGUGACAUGUACAUGUCCAAUUUACCUACCCUCUCUGAGCUUUAGUGUACUUAUACAUAACAAAGAAACAGUAUCUGCUGUGCUACUGCUGGGUGAGUUUUAAAUGUGAUACAGUUGUGAGAAUUAAAUUACAAAGGUGAAAUAACAUUUUAUAUUAUUAGUGAUAUACAUAUGUUAUUACUAUCAGUUAAGCUACUUUAAUAUGUAUGUAUAUAAACAUAUUUCCUACUUCACUGUUUCAAACAAGGGGGUGAUACUGGGAAACAAUGAUUAUAAAACUAAUUAAAUCAAUGUAUCAUAAUCUUCAACUAAUCUGCUUGGGUGGCAAGCUUAUAGAAAAUGAAGAAUGCAUCUUUUGUC
rnacentral:lncRNA from 1 species